GUGGGGAGGAGCGAAGCGGACAGGGGGAGGGGUGAUGAGGGAAGGGGGGAGGGGCCAAUUCGGACAGAAACAUUUCAUUAAAGCGUGGUUUAUUUUUUUAAGUAUUUUUUUAAAGUAUUUUUUAAUAUUUUAUUCUGUAAGACUUUGCUGGGUUUUUUCCCCCUGGAUUUUGCUGUUGUGCGUAGCCACUUUAAGAUGUUUUCUUGUUCAUGUUUAUUUUUAUUUGUUGCGGUUGCACCCGAUUCAAGAGCCACUUGGCUCACAGGGCUGUACCAAAUAAAUGAACUGAACUGAAUUAAAUUAAAUAGCGGGGAGGCGCGCGUAUAAUUUCGCCGUCUGUUUUAACAUUGGGUGGCGAGCGCUGCUCUUCUUUGCUUAGCGCUCUGGGCGUGCUAAAUUUAGUUUUCUCAAACUAUUUCUCUCUGCUUCUUGGUUCUUUCGAUAAAGUCACGUAGAAGGGAAAUCAUAAAAUAAUAAAAUAAUAAAACAUAAUAAAAUAAAAUAUAUUAUUUCCCUUCUACGUGACUUUACCGAAAGAACCAAGAAGAUGAAUCCCUGCAGUCACGAAAUUUACCAGGCUUAUCGUAGGGCCAUUCGAUCUUCUUCUUUACCUGUGUCGCUUUUGGGUGCAUUCAUUGUCAUGCUAAUUCCUCUGCCCCAGCAGACCCACCCCUCUCUCUCUCUAUUUAAGGCAUCGACACAGAGGCAUUGGGUCUCAGUGUGUCUCUCUUUUGCCUGUGUGUCUCCGUGUCUGUGUUUUUCUCUCUCUCCCAGAUUUAGUUCUACCUGCUGACGGGUGCUUGUGGUGCAAUCGAAACGUCGUACUCCAUUAUUUAAUUUAUUUUCUUUCUACGUCGCUUUACCGAAAGAACCAAAGAAGAAUUCCAGCUGUCACGAGGGCUUCAAAUCAAGUUUGAACCACCUCUACGGGGAAGGAUGUAAGUUGAUUUCUCUCUCUCUGUGUGUCUCUUUCAAAUUCCACACUUCAAGUUUAGCAAUCUUUGGAGAUCGUAAUCAACCAGGCUAUGCGUUAACUGUGUGUCUCUCUCUGCUUGUGUGUCUCCGUGCCUGUGUUUUGUCUCUCUCUCUCUCAAAUUUAGUUCUACCUGAUGAUGGGGGCUUUAUAUCGUUUAGUGUAAAACCCUCUUGGUCGCAGCUGAAAUUGCAAUCACUGUUACGUUGUUUUUAUAGCUUUGUUUUGGUGAUUUCGAAACGUUUUUUGGUUUAGCAAUAUUUGUUUGUUGUAGUAUAGAGUUAGCUUUAAUUUAAAUUGUCUUAUGGUUGUUAUUGUUUAACUUGCAUCCCACUGGGAUUUUUGCACACAGCGUUGAUGUGCGGUGCUUUUAUUUUAUUUUACACGCUUUUAUUUAACUCCCUCCGUCUGAUUUAAAGCUUUCGUCACUGCAGGGAUUCAUCUUCUUGGUUAUUUCGGUAAAGUCACGUAGAAGGGAAAUAAUAAAAUAUUUGUUUCAUAUUCAUUUUAUUAUUUCCCUUGGGGUGCGUCUACUUUGGCGAGCCGCUCGAUGGCAUCCUGAGAUGCAAAGUGACGAAAUGAAGUGCCUCCCACAAAAGAUCUCUGUGGGCAGCUUGAUGGGAUAUGUUUCGUAGUCUGGGACUCACGGCCACGCCCGCACUUGGGGUCACAUGACUCACAUCCCUCACCUUCUGCUCGUGAAGCUGGUGGCUCUUGUUGUUUCGCCGAUUUCGGUUUGAGUGCCGUCCGCGUUCUUCGGGGAGAGGUCUAUCUCGGGACCUUUGCUGCUGAAUUUAGUUCUACCUGCUGACGGGUGCUUGUGGUGCAAUCGAAACGUCGUACUCCAUUAUUGAAUUUAUUUUCUUUCUACGUCGCUUUAUCGAAAGAACCAAAGAAGAAUUCCAGCAGUCACGAGGGCUUCAAAUCAAGUUUGAACCACCUCUACGGGGAAGGAUAUUUAGUUCUACCUGCUGACGGGUGCUUGUGGUGCAAUCGAAACGUCGUACUCCAUUAUUUAAUUUAUUUUCUUUCUACGUCGCUUUACCGAAAGAACCAAAGAAGAAUUCCAGCUGUCACGAGGGCUUCAAAUCAAGUUUGAACCACCUCUACGGGGAAGGAUAUUUAGUUCUACCUGCUGACGGGUGCUUGUGGUGCAAUCGAAACGUCGUACUCCAUUAUUGAAUUUAUUUUCUUUCUACGUCACUUUACCGAAAGAACCAAAGAAUAAUUCCAGCAGUCACGAGGGCUUCAAAUCAAGUUUGAACCACCUCUACGGGGAAGGAUACGGACCCUCUGAGUUGUGCAGUGCAGGAACGCGUUCGCCAUCCUUGGAGGCUGUCACCAUGUCGCGGGACCUUGGAGAAACGCACCCCCUGCCAAGCAUGACGGAUGUGGACCCUGACGCGCUUUUUCGGUGUCCCUACGACCCCAGCCACAUGAUAUGCGCGAAGCGCUACACGUAUCACGUGGCCAAGUGUAGCCUGACACACAAGAAGGUGGCGCAGAACAUGCAGCACGUGUCCAUUCAAUGCACGCCACCGGAUACUGAGGAGAAACAUGGCCGAGCAUCUGGCACAGUGCCCCGACCGGACGGUCGGCCAGACCGAGGUGACGCAAGG